GAUGAACGCUAGCUACAGGCUUAACACAUGCAAGUCGUGGGGCAGCGGAUGCUUAGCUUGCUAAGUAUGCCGGCGACCGGCGCACGGGUGAGUAACGCGUACCGAACCUGCCCAUCACACAGGGAUAGGCUUGCGAAAGCAAGAUUAAUACCUGAUGGUCUCAGUUGUAUGCAUGUAUGAUUGAGUAAAGCCUUCGGGCGGUGAUGGAUGGCGGUGCGUCCCAUUAGGAAGUUGGCGGGGUAACGGCCCACCAAUCCUUCGAUGGGUAGGGGUUCUGAGAGGAAGGUCCCCCACAUUGGAACUGAGAUACGGUCCAAACUCCUACGGGAGGCAGCAGUGAGGAAUAUUGGUCAAUGGGCGGGAGCCUGAACCAGCCAAGUAGCGUGCGGGAUGAAGGCCCUUGUGGUCGUAAACCGCUUUUAUCAGUGAAUAAAGUGCACCACGUGUGGUGUCAUUGCAGGUAGCUGAAGAAAAAGGACCGGCUAAUUCCGUGCCAGCAGCCGCGGUAAUACGGAAGGUCCGGGCGUUAUCCGGAAUUAUUGGGUUUAAAGGGAGCGCAGGCGGGAGUGUAAGUCAGCUGUUAAAUAUCAGGGCCCAACUCUGUUAUGCAGUUGAAACUAUAUUUCUUGAGUACGCACAGGGAUGGCGGAAUUCAGGGUGUAGCGGUGAAAUGCUUAGAUAUCCUGAAGAACUCCGAUCGCGAAGGCAGCCAUCCGGAGCGUAACUGACGCUGAGGCUCGAAGGUGCGGGUAUCGAACAGG
rnacentral:rRNA from 1 species